rnacentral:lncRNA from 1 species
UAGGAAUGAUGAUUGGAGAUCGUUCAUAUUCCAUCGAGUAGAAAGUGUGUGUCAUAUUUAUGCAAAUUACUUAGGUAUGAAAGGUAUCAGAAAUUAUUUUAUAGCAAGAAAGGGCGCUGGAUCGAUUCAUUUAAUGUCUCUGGCCUCGUCUACUGGAAACCAUGGCAAUUGGCCCGAAUGAGGAGAAAGCUCAGUGGUCGUGCGUGAGCGGGAGACUAGUACAGUCACCACUAUAGGCGACAUGGAGACAAUGUUAAGAGUCCCUAUUGAAAACCAUGGCCGAGACAUAUCCUGUCACGAGGAUGGGAAUGCAUCAAAGUGGAUUGUAAUAUAGAAACGUGAGUUGUAUCUACUUAUCAAUAGGAAUUGUAUAGACUUUGAGGUGUAGCCGAUGUGAGCUUCCUCCUCUCCUCUUCAAAAUAAUAUAUUGCGAUUAUUCUAGUAGCGUGCAUGUGUGAUGGAUCCAUCGUCCCUGUCCACGACGCAGAAGAUUUUCGACGGGACCAUCGAACGUGUGCCGUUCGUCAGAGUUCCUGAACCUGAUCGACUGCUCGUCAUCGUUCAUACACGGUACACGUACGGUACGCUAGGGGUGGUCUCCAUCCGCGAGCUCAUACGUACGUCCAUGGGCGCUCAGCACAAGGUAGAGGCGCGGUGGCACCCUCCCCCAUUGAUCAACUUCGUCUAACAUCAGAUCACUUAAUGUGGUAAAAAAACAACGUGUGUUUUUGGAUGAAAGAAAAAUAAUCAGAAACUCUGUACAACGUCUUGACCGAAUAAAAUUACAAAAAAACACGAGCUGCAUGUGCCAUCUAUAGCAGCUCAACAGAAAGUAAUUAGGAACAAUUUCACUAUCAAAAAUAAAUGAUGAAUAAAGAAAACUA